rnacentral:rRNA from 1 species
GGGACACGUGGUAUCCUGUCUGAAUAUGGGGGGACCAUCCUCCAAGGCUAAAUACUCCUGACUGACCGAUAGUGAACCAGUACCGUGAGGGAAAGGCGAAAAGAACCCCGGCGAGGGGAGUGAAAAAGAACCUGAAACCGUGUACGUACAAGCAGUGGGAGCACGCUUAGGCGUGUGACUGCGUACCUUUUGUAUAAUGGGUCAGCGACUUAUAUUCUGUAGCAAGGUUAACCGAAUAGGGGAGCCGAAGGGAAACCGAGUCUUAACUGGGCGUUAAGUUGCAGGGUAUAGACCCGAAACCCGGUGAUCUAGCCAUGGGCAGGUUGAAGGUUGGGUAACACUAACUGGAGGACCGAACCGACUAAUGUUGAAAAAUUAGCGGAUGACUUGUGGCUGGGGGUGAAAGGCCAAUCAAACCGGGAGAUAGCUGGUUCUCCCCGAAAGCUAUUUAGGUAGCGCCUCGUGAAUUCAUCUCCGGGGGUAGAGCACUGUUUCGGCAAGGGGGUCAUCCCGACUUACCAACCCGAUGCAAACUGCGAAUACCGGAGAAUGUUAUCACGGGAGACACACGGCGGGUGCUAACGUCCGUCGUGAAGAGGGAAACAACCCAGACCGCCAGCUAAGGUCCCAAAGUCAUGGUUAAGUGGGAAACGAUGUGGGAAGGCCCAGACAGCCAGGAUGUUGGCUUAGAAGCAGCCAUCAUUUAAAGAAAGCGUAAUAGCUCACUGGUCGAGUCGGCCUGCGCGGAAGAUGUAACGGGGCUAAACCAUGCACCGAAGCUGCGGCAGCGACACUAUGUGUUGUUGGGUAGGGGAGCGUUCUGUAAGCCUGUGAAGGUGUACUGUGAGGUAUGCUGGAGGUAUCAGAAGUGCGAAUGCUGACAUAAGUAACGAUAAAGCGGGUGAAAAGCCCGCUCGCCGGAAGACCAAGGGUUCCUGUCCAACGUUAAUCGGGGCAGGGUGAGUCGACCCCUAAGGCGAGGCCGAAAGGCGUAGUCGAUGGGAAACAGGUUAAUAUUCCUGUACUUGGUGUUACUGCGAAGGGGGGACGGAGAAGGCUAUGUUGGCCGGGCGACGGUUGUCCCGGUUUAAGCGUGUAGGCUGGUUUUCCAGGCAAAUCCGGAAAAUCAAGGCUGAGGCGUGAUGACGAGGCACUACGGUGCUGAAGCAACAAAUGCCCUGCUUCCAGGAAAAGCCUCUAAGCAUCAGGUAACAUCAAAUCGUACCCCAAACCGACACAGGUGGUCAGGUAGAGAAUACCAAGGCGCUUGAGAGAACUCGGGUGAAGGAACUAGGCAAAAUGGUGCCGUAACUUCGGGAGAAGGCACGCUGAUAUGUAGGUGAAGUCCCUCGCGGAUGGAGCUGAAAUCAGUCGAAGAUACCAGCUGGCUGCAACUGUUUAUUAAAAACACAGCACUGUGCAAACACGAAAGUGGACGUAUACGGUGUGACGCCUGCCCGGUGCCGGAAGGUUAAUUGAUGGGGUCAGCGCAAGCGAAGCUCUUGAUCGAAGCCCCGGUAAACGGCGGCCGUAACUAUAACGGUCCUAAGGUAGCGAAAUUCCUUGUCGGGUAAGUUCCGACCUGCACGAAUGGCGUAAUGAUGGCCAGGCUGUCUCCACCCGAGACUCAGUGAAAUUGAACUCGCUGUGAAGAUGCAGUGUACCCGCGGCAAGACGGAAAGACCCCGUGAACCUUUACUAUAGCUUGACACUGAACAUUGAGCCUUGAUGUGUAGGAUAGGUGGGAGGCUUUGAAGUGUGGACGCCAGUCUGCAUGGAGCCGACCUUGAAAUACCACCCUUUAAUGUUUGAUGUUCUAACGUUGACCCGUGAUCCGGGUUGCGGACAGUGUCUGGUGGGUAGUUUGACUGGGGCGGUCUCCUCCUAAAGAGUAACGGAGGAGCACGAAGGUUGGCUAAUCCUGGUCGGACAUCAGGAGGUUAGUGCAAUGGCAUAAGCCAGCUUGACUGCGAGCGUGACGGCGCGAGCAGGUGCGAAAGCAGGUCAUAGUGAUCCGGUGGUUCUGAAUGGAAGGGCCAUCGCUCAACGGAUAAAAGGUACUCCGGGGAUAACAGGCUGAUACCGCCCAAGAGUUCAUAUCGACGGCGGUGUUUGGCACCUCGAUGUCGGCUCAUCACAUCCUGGGGCUGAAGUAGGUCCCAAGGGUAUGGCUGUUCGCCAUUUAAAGUGGUACGCGAGCUGGGUUUAGAACGUCGUGAGACAGUUCGGUCCCUAUCUGCCGUGGGCGCUGGAGAACUGAGGGGGGCUGCUCCUAGUACGAGAGGACCGGAGUGGACGCAUCACUGGUGUUCGGGUUGUCAUGCCAAUGGCACUGCCCGGUAGCUAAAUGCGGAAGAGAUAAGUGCUGAAAGCAUCUAAGCACGAAACUUGCCCCGAGAUGAGUUCUCCCUGACCCUUUAAGGGUCCUGAAGGAACGUUGAAGACGACGACGUUGAUAGGCCGGGUGUGUAAGCGCAGCGAUGCGUUGAGCUAACCGGUACUAA